CGAAUCUGGUACAGGUCCAAAUCCAGUAUCGUCAAAGCUCUUUCUCUCCGGCCAAACCCCUGUAUCGAGUACUCCGACAAUGACAUCACUCAUAGCAUCGGACUCAGGAAAGAUAUUAACACUUCUAUCAAGUCCCAAAAAAAGAGGUGUCCGAGUAGUGUGGAGUUGGUAUAUCAGCUCAGGCAAAACAGAGAGAAUCCCAGGUUGGGUCUCUAAGGAUUCAGCUUGUCGAGCUGUAAGCCUUGCUGCAAAACCAUGAACAACGUUUUUAUAAACAUAGAUCAUCUCUGCUGAUUCAGAGACGGAUUUGAGGGACGCGUCAUACCAGUGAGUAUGAUCAUCAAAUAUUGCUGGCAUUUGUGAUUUAGCCAUGUGAAUGAUGUAUGUUUUCUUCUCCACCAUUGCCACAGACAUGUGACAUAGGCACACAAGUACAACAACUAGUAGUGUGUAUGUAGACAUUUUUGAUUAAUUUUUCGCUUGGACUGCUGCAUUAAUAAGAGGGAGUGGAUGAACAAGCAAUGAGAAACUUAAGGUAAUAUAUAUAGGAAAAUUAAAAGAGUGGGGCUAGAUGUUGAUGUUGUUUUCUUUUUAUGAAUGAUUGGAAACAGCCAGCCUAGCAGACCAAGUGAUAAAAUAAAGAUUAAAGAGUAAAAAAAGAAGGAUCACAUUUCUUAACGUAUGAAAUCAAAGAAUUUCAUUCUCCUUUCAUCACGUUAUCUUCCAGUCCGCCUUUUUAUCCACUUCUUUUUUUCUUUUCUAGUCAGUGAACCUCUUUUCACCUUCCACUUUACCAUUUGCUCAUUUGCACAAGAAAAGCUACAAAAAAGAAAAAAAAAACAGAAUCGCAAAAUUCUUCAAGUUGCCAUCCAAAUUUCAUUUUCUUUUUACCUACAUUAAUGGCCAUCCGCAAAGAUGGUGAGUACUCUUUUAUUCUCAAUCAUAGUUUCGCAAUGAGGAUAUGGAGCAAAGUAUUCCGUAGAUUUUUUAUUUUUUUUUACAGAUUUCAGUUGGUAGGGAAAUUCAUUGCUGAAGGACACUUCGAUUAAUAAAUGCUGUAGAUUUCAUGAAGAGGCUUGACGAUUUCCAACUUCCAAUAACUAUAAUAAUAAAGAUAAAAGGAGAAAUAAAUCUUUACCAUUAUGAACAAUAGUGGUUCACGGGUCCAUACAGAAAUGGAGUAGCUUUUAGUGUUAGGAGUAACAUUUAUUUGUGUGGAAAAAAAAAAGAAGAAGAAGGAGGAGGUAGAUGGUUGGUGAGAUGUUAAAUUAAUUCAAAUAUCCUAUUUUCUAACUAUUACCAUGUUUUGUUUUUCGAGUUUAAAUUAGAUAUACCAUCACUAAAUAUUUUAGUAUUUAUUUUCUUGUUGACUAAUUAAGACAAAAAUAAUUAUUGAAAUUCUGUUUUUUUGUAGUUGCUUUAUUCAAACAAGAACAGACAAGGUUCAACGUAGGUGCGGGGUCUAGUAAUUAAACAAAUCAAACAUUAUUUAAUGGUAGAUACCCUAAUUAUCGAUGAAAAACGAGAUAUUUUAAUUGUUUGUGAAUCCCGUGUCCCAAAAUUUGUACUAUUAUAUACUAUGAAAUAGAGGACUUGUAGUGUUUGAGACUACCUUUUCUAGUAGCCUUUGAACAUAUAAUAGAAUAAUUUUGAAAAUAAAGAUGUACCUUUCACAAUUAAAAUAAGGAAAUCAAAAGCUUUUAAGUUUUGUUUAUAGUUAGAGUAUGAUCUGGAAACAAGCAAGAGCAAGCUUAAUCCAAUUGCUGGCAAGAAUUAUACAAAUAUAUAUAAUGAUAUUAUUAGUUAAUAAAUGAACUACAAAAUGUACAAGUAAUCUUGUAUAUAUUUUUCUUGCUUCUUUCAAAUUAGGAAAAAGUACGUGUAAUGACAGUUGAAUAGUAUAAGACCUGGGAAUAUAUUUGCAAAUUAUCUAAUCGAGUCUUUCAUUAUUUGAAUGUGACAUUCUUGGGUGUAGGCUACAUACUUGCAUUCAUGGAUUUGCUGAUGAGAAUGAUAUUAUGUGUUAAUUGGGACGAAAUUUUAGGACUUCUUAUAUGAUCUGGACAAUUCUUCUCUCUUUGAUAUAGAAUUUAAGGUCGAUUAAUUUGAUUCGAGAUUAAUUUAACAUGUUAUUAAAGUCGAUUCAAUUGAGUGUGAUGUGGGGUCCACAAACCAAGUUGGGGUGGUGAUAUGAAUGAUCGCAUAUUAUAUUUGGAAGAGAUUGGUGAUUUUUCUUAUAUGAUUUUGAAUAAUUCUCUUUCUUGGAGCUAGCUUUUGAGAUUGAGUCCAAAAUUCAUUCUAACAUAUGUUCUAUCAUACGUGAUUUCUUACAUUGGGGCAAAAGCUUCAACAUGUAUAGAGUACAAAAUUUCUAGUCACUACAAAAAGACAUUUAGGGGGAAUAAAUAUUUCCUUAUAACGCAAAAAUAUUUAGCAAUAAUUAAGUUAAUGUUAUUACAUUUAAUGAGAGUAAAACCUUUAACAACAUUUAUAUAAACUGUUAGUUACAAUUAAUACCCACCCAAAUUUACUGUUACCAUUAAAUAUAAUAUAGCAAUAAUUAUAUUAUUACCAUAAAAUUCUUUAUUUGUUGAGGUAACCUUCUAUGAAACUUAAAACUUUCUUUCAUUGAAUGAAUAACUUCUAGUCCUAUAAUAUUUGUCAACAACACGGUAUAAACAGUAUAGAACAUUAUAAACCAUAUAGUAGAAUAUUAGUUGUCAUUUUACAACUGGUAAAUAACACUGUCAUGUGGAAUUUCAUUUACUUGUGGACUUAUGGUGUUGCCAGAUUGGCAAUGAUCGAGUUAAUGACUAUCAUAUACUUUCAAUGAAUUUCUUUUUUGCUGGUCCACUGUUGAUUUUUUUAAGUGGGGAUAUUUUGAAUAGGAUACAUGCUUCAUUAUAAAAUUAAAAAAAUGGCAACUAUUUCCUAAUAUUUUUAAAGACCAUCCAGUAUAAAAAUAAGUGUUAGGACGAAAUGAGCUGUAAGACAAAACAUGUGUGAUCAUCAAACUUAUGAUGAAUUUCUAUGUUUACCAGAGUGUAACCAGUUUAUGAGUUCGUCAAUUCAGUAACAAAUUGAUCAUUUGUUAGUGUUAAAAAUGAGCUCAAAUAUAGGUAACAUGAUCAAGUUAUACUAAAUUUCAAGGAUUAGGCUCAAGAUAAUUUGAGUUGAGUUCAAUCUCAAUUUAUUCACGUCUUAACCUAAAAGAAUCCUAAUUGGACCUAAUUUAACCUCCAAUUCUAAGUCCGUCGUAAAACUCUUUUUUUGCAUUGAUAUAAUAUGUGUUCCUAUUUUGAAGAUAUAAUUACUAUCUAUAUUUUAUCUUUUAGAAUUUACUUAUCCAUUUUUAAUUUUUUUAUAAAAAUAAAUAUAAAAAUAAAAUCUUGAGUUGAAAAUCAAUUGUGUCUAUAAAAGUUAAAUAAUAGUAUGUUAAAAUUAUUAACAUUAAGCAUGUCAAAUUGGACAAAUUAUAAUUCAAUUCAAUUUUUAACCAAUUAAGUCCAAAUAAAUUUAGAUGGUCAAGACUCGUUCUAAACUUCACCUCUAAUUUCUUGGAAGGAUUAUCAGGCUACCAUGCCCUUAAAGUCUAUAUGUGCCAGACUAGACUCUUAAAAUUAUGACAUAUUUUAUUUUCUUUAACAGAAUUUGUUUUGACGUAAAAAAAAAAUUUAUUUAUCUAACAAAAUAAAAAGCUUUAUAAGAUAUCAAUACAUAUUUCUAGAUAUUUGAUUUGAUAUGAAAUUAACUCGAGAUCAAUUUCUUUUUUAUUUGAGAGUAUUGACUAUACCCCAGUUCGGAGCUUCAUGCAUGUUAUUCAUUCCAAGUGACAUGUUCGGUCUGUAACCAGUGUGAAAUCUCGAAAGAAUCAAAGAUUCAUAUAUUUAUGCAUCUAUACAAGUAUAUAUGAAGCAUUAAGUGAUACUUGGCUGAAAAUAAUGUCAAAAGUAUAUGAGAUACAGCACCUAAAACCACACUCAGAUACAAUACUUGGUACGAAACAUCACUGCACUGUGAGCAAGAAGCAUAAAUUUCUUUGAUUAACUUUACAUUAAAUCGAUAGCAGCUAUAUAUAGCUCUUUAAUUUGUUCAUAUAAUUCAUGACCAAGAAAUUGCAACUGGACUAGUGACCAAAUGCGUCCCAUCUGACCACUCAAUUUUGCCGAAUACAUUGGUAGAUGGGGGCUUUGAUGGAGCAGUAAAACUCACACUAUACGAUAUCUUCUCAUUAAUCUGAGUAAAACUAACUGUUUCAGGUUCAACUAUAAUUUCCACGGAACUAUCGGGCAAAGUAACAGCAACUUUGUAUGUUCCAGACGGUCCAACAUUAGUCAGUGUCCGGCUGUAUCUGAUUGUGUUUGAACCGGUAUCGGCAGGGAAUGCAACUGAAAACGAAGGGUAAUUCAAAUCUGUGACGCUGUAUAUUUUGCUUGAAUCACAUGUGAAGUUUCUUCUUGCUAUGAUAUUGAUUUGUGAUGGACUGUAUUUCAAUGCACACAGGAAAUUGAGGUAAUCAUCGGCGUUUAUGUCGUAAACAAGACCUGGGUUCACCGCUGAAACGGGAUCCACGUGCCCAGCGCCGUGACCGAAAGGUGUAGAUGGUUUUCCGGUAGCUACGUCUAGUAGUGCUCCGCCGUUCCUGUAGGUGGUGUAAGCGGUGGUCAUGAGCGCCGAACGAAUGGCGGCGGGGCUCCAUUCUGGGUGGACUCCUUUGAGCAAAGCCGCUAAGCCACUCACGUGUGGACACGACAUGGAUGUGCCUGAGAUAAUGUUGAACUCGACCCGUCUAUCGUCCUCAGGCAACCCCGUAGGACCGACUGCACCGCUCCAACCGGCCAGAAUAUUGACACCUGGCGCGAUGAUAUCCGGCUUAAGUAUCUCCGGCGUGAUGGAAUUUGGGCCUCUGGAACUGAACGCUGCAAGAAUCGGUGCUGGUUGGACUCCUACCAUUGUUCCUCCAAAAAGAAUCGUGGCCGUUGGAUUAGGAUCUGAUGUUAUAUACUUCUUGAUUUCAUCGCCAUCUAAUUGACCCACAGCCGCCGCUGGAAGUAAAUGGGCGUCAGCCAGUAGCCCCAGCCCAUUUGUGUUAGCAAAAAUCAUGCCGGCUCCACCGGCUGAUUUUACCACAUAACCCUUUUCAGCUCUGACGUUAACCCCUCCGUCACACAGCACAAUUUUGCCUUUAACUUUCUCAGGAAUUAAGGUUCCCAUUAUACAGAGAUUUCCAUUGGUUGCAUUGCUGGCAUUACCUGCAUACACCAAGGGAAGCAUCCCACUGGGUAAUGGAUCACCCGCGUAAAGUGAAACACCGGAGAAAUUUUUACCAUUGCCAAGGCUUACAUAUGCUGGAAAAUCACGGUCAACUGUUCCGGCACCCACGGUGGUGAUCCAAGGUGCUUGGUUAGCCAAACUGAAUUGAUUGGGUCCAGCAUUUCCAGCAGAGCAAGAAACCAUAAUACCCUUCUCCAUUGCAGCAAAUGCUCCAAUUGCAACAUCGUCGCUGUAGAAAUCAAAAUGCUCUCCACCAAGUGAUAAUGAAAGCACAUUAACAUUAUCAUCAAUGGCUUUGUCCAUACCUGCCAAUAUGUCGGGGCCAAAGCAUUUCCCAAGCCAGCAAACCUUGUAGACGGCAACUCUGGCACGAUAAGCCAUUCCACGAGCAGUUCCUGAAGCAUAACCAAAAAGGCUAGCUCCCUGAACAACUGAACCAGCUGCUGUAGAAGCAGUGUGUGUUCCAUGUCCUUCAUUGUCCCUUGGUGAUUUAGACUCCUUGGACUCAUCAAUUGGUCCAAGAGUAGCUUCAUAACCACUAGAAAAAUACCUCGCUCCAAUAAGCUUUCUGUUACACAUGGCAGAACUGAAAUUGAUGCCAGACUCACACUCACCUUUCCAUGACUCGGGAACAGGUCCUAAUCCGGUAUCGUCAAAGCUCCUUCUCUCUGGCCAAAUCCCUGAAUCGAGUAUACCAAUGAUGACAUUACUCAUAGCAUCUGAGUCAUUAAAGACAUCAGGUCUGUUAUCAAGACCCAAAAAAAGAGGUGUCCGAGUAGUGUGGAGUUGGUAUAUCACCUCAGACAAAACAGAUAGAAUCCCAGGUUGGGUCUUUAAGGAUUCAGCUUCUUGAGCUGUAAGCCUUGCUGCAAAACCAUGGAUAACAUUGUUAUAAACAUAGAUCAUCUCC
rnacentral:lncRNA from 1 species